UCCGAGUUGUCCCCGGCAGUCUCCCAUGAGUCCCCGGCAUGACCCGCUGGCAACAUGGGACAGGGGUUGCGCUCGUUGCGCCACUUAAGGCAACACCUCACGGCACGAGCUGACGGCAGCCAUGCAGCACCUGUGCGGGCUCCCGAAGGAGCACCGUGUUUCCACGGUUUCACCCCGCAUGUCAAGCCCUGGUAAGGUUCUUCGCGUUGCGUCGAAUUGAGCCACAUGCUCCGCCGCUUGUGCGGGCCCCCGUCAAUUCCUUUGAGUUUCAACCUUGCGGCCGUACUCCCCAGGCGGGACACUUACUGCGUUAGCUGCGGCACCGGCGGUAACCCGCCGACACUUAGUGUCCAUCGUUUAGGGCGUGGACUAC
rnacentral:misc_RNA from 1 species